GGCCGCAGUCCGGGUCCUGGCUUCGGCCUCAGCCCCACCAUGGUGACGCUUGCUGAACUGCUGGUGCUCCUGGCCGCUCUCCUGGCUACGGUCUCGGGCUAUUUCGUUAGCAUCGACGCGCAUGCUGAAGAGUGCUUCUUUGAGCGGGUCACCUCGGGCACCAAGAUGGGCCUCAUCUUCGAGGUGGCGGAGGGCGGCUUCCUGGACAUCGACGUGGAGAUUACAGGACCAGAUAACAAAGGAAUUUACAAAGGAGACAGAGAAUCCAGUGGGAAAUACACAUUUGCUGCUCACAUGGAUGGAACAUACAAAUUUUGUUUUAGUAACCGGAUGUCCACCAUGACUCCAAAAAUAGUGAUGUUCACCAUUGAUAUUGGGGAGGCUCCGAAAGGACAAGAUAUGGAAACAGAAGGUGAGAUGAACAUUCAGAAGA
rnacentral:sRNA from 1 species